rnacentral:rRNA from 1 species
CGUAGGUGGCAAGCGUUGUCCGGAGUUACUGGGUGUAAAGGGCGUGUAGGCGGGUUAGUAAGUCAGAUGUGAAAUUCCAUGGCUCAACUGUGGCGCUGCAUCUGAAACUAUUAAUCUUGAGUGAUGGAGAGGAAAGUGGAAUUCCUAGUGUAGCGGUGAAAUGCGUAGAUAUUAGGAGGAACACCAGUGGCGAAGGCGACUUUCUGGACAUUAACUGACGCUGAGGCGCGAAAGCGUGGGGAGCAAACAGGAUUAGAUACCCUGGUAGUCCACGCUGUAAACGAUGGAUACUAGGUGUAGGAGGUAUCGACCCCUUCUGUGCCGGAGUUAACACAAUAAGUAUCCCACCUGGGGAGUACGGCCGCAAGGUUG